rnacentral:lncRNA from 1 species
CACAGCGCCUCCUGCCGGCCAGGGUGGCGAUGGCCGCAGGAACUGGCCGGAGCCCGCGAAGGCGCAGAGAGCACACAGGCAACAUGCAAAUCCCUAUGCCUCAGAGCCGUUGUUCGACUGAGCAAGAGAAAAGAUCAGCACAGAAGGCUGCAGGGUAAUCUUACACCGCUGAGACUGGCAAGGUUAAGGGCAGACACUGCAAGAGUACCCAGGGGCUGAAGAAAUUGCAAGUGCUAGACAUCAAGAUGGCUUUGAGCAACCCUGUGGCCAGUGUCCUCAACAGUAGUUCUUACCACAAUGCAGAACCACCUUCUCCUGGGACUACAUCUUACAAAGUCUUUUGAUUACAAAUAGUGGCAUAAUGACAUUAGCUGAUAAUUCAGUGGCUACUGUGACACUGAUGUGGUGAUUAAACUAAUGAAAUAACAGAACAAGCUCACAUUUAGCAGUCUCUUGAUAUGAAAGACAAAGUCAUGCUGAGAAUCCAGUGUACUUUCAUUAACAUGAGUUUGUAUUGAUUCCUGCAUCAAAUAAACAGGUCCUCAGCCCAAGAUCUUUGCUGUCAACUAGCCAUUUGGAUUUAAGUGGAGGCAAUGGAGGGCAGUUAAAAAUGUGCAGAGGGAAGCUUUAGAAGGAGAAACUAUCAGAAAAUGUGUUUGGGGAUGUUCUCUGAACACAGUUUACCAGAGAAAGGUUAAGGAUUGGGUAGAGUAUCAUCUAGACCUCUUUAAGGACACGUAGCAAGUCUGCCGGGUCAUAAACACAAAUGUCUACAGGAGCCAGGCGGGUAUCAUCGCUGAGUGAACAGGCAGGAUGGGUGUCAGGAGGGAGGAGUGGAAUCAGCGAAGACCUCCUGAGCUUUAAGAA